rnacentral:rRNA from 1 species
GAGUCAGUAGGUUGGUCGUGCCACCGGUACGUACUGGUCCCACUGAUUCCUCCUUCCUGAAGAACCGUAAUGCCAUUAAUUUGGUGUUGCGGGGAAACAGGACUGUUACUUUGAAAAAAUUAGAGUGUUUAAAGCAAGCUAACGCUUGAAUACAUUAGCAUGGAAUAAUGAAAUAGGACGAUCGAUCCUAUUUUGUUGGUUUCUAGGAUUGACGUA